UGCCCAGCAACUCCUAUCCCUACCUCCUCGCGGGAAACUAUGAGCAAUUUUAGGGAAGAUCGGGUUACCAACCCCGGUGGGAACUUUGGUCGUAGGCUGACAGGGAAGG
rnacentral:ribozyme from 1 species